rnacentral:rRNA from 1 species
GACGAACGCUGGCGGCGUGCUUAACACAUGCAAGUCGAACGGAAAGGCCCUGGUUUUGUGGGGUGCUCGAGUGGCGAACGGGUGAGUAACACGUGAGUAACCUGCCCUUGACUUUGGGAUAACUUCAGGAAACUGGGGCUAAUACCGGAUAGGAGCUCCUGCUGCAUGGUGGGGGUUGGAAAGUUUCGGCGGUUGGGGAUGGACUCGCGGCUUAUCAGCUUGUUGGUGGGGUAGUGGCUUACCAAGGCUUUGACGGGUAGACGGCCUGAGAGGGUGACCGGCCACAUUCUAACUGAGAUACGCCCCAGACUCCUACCGGACACAGCAGUGUGGAAUAUUGCACAAUGGUCGGAAGCCUGAUGCAGCAACUCCACGUGCGGGAUGACGGCCUUCGGGUUGUAAACCGCUUUCGCCUGUGACGAAGCGUAAGUAACGGUAAUAGGUAAAGAAGCACCGGCUAACUACGUG